UACGGAGGGGGCUAGCGUUGUUCGGAAUUACUGGGCGUAAAGCGCGCGUAGGCGGCUUUGUAAGUUAGAGGUGAAAGCCCGGAGCUCAACUCCGGAAUUGCCUUUAAGACUGCAUCGCUAGAAUCAUGGAGAGGUUAGUGGAAUUCCGAGUGUAGAGGUGAAAUUCGUAGAUAUUCGGAAGAACACCAGUGGCGAAGGCGGCUUACUGGUCCGGUUCUGACGCUGAGGCGCGAAAGCGUGGGGAGCAAACAGG
rnacentral:rRNA from 1 species